rnacentral:rRNA from 1 species
GAUGAACGCUGGCGGCGUGCCUAAUACAUGCAAGUCGAGCGAACGGACGAGAAGCUUGCUUCUCUGAUGUUAGCGGCGGACGGGUGAGUAACACGUGGAUAACCUACCUAUAAGACUGGGAUAACUUCGGGAAACCGGAGCUAAUACCGGAUAAUAUUUUGAACCGCAUGGUUCAAAAGUGAAAGACGGUCUUGCUGUCACUUAUAGAUGGAUCCGCGCUGCAUUAGCUAGUUGGUAAGGUAACGGCUUACCAAGGCAACGAUGCAUAGCCGACCUGAGAGGGUGAUCAGCCACACUGGAACUGAGACACGGUCCAGACUCCUACGGGAGGCAGCAGUAGGGAAUCUUCCGCAAUGGGCGAAAGCCUGACGGAGCAAAGCCGCGUGAGUGAUGAAGGUCUUCGGAUCGUAAAACUCUGUUAUUAGGGAGGAACAUAUGUGUAAGUAACUGUGCACAUCUUGACGGUACCUAAUCAGAAAGCCACGGCUAACUACGUG